GCUUUCGGUGCUUGGUAGAUCGAUGCUUCUGAACUUAAAGGCAAAGUAAUAAACUAAACAAACCGCCGGUUGCUGCUUCAGAGAGCCGCUCGCCUCCGUUAUUUCUGCUCAUUUUGGACAGAAAACGCUUCACGGGGUGCACAGGGUUUGCUGAGAAGAUGCUUAUUUUCCCACGACUUGCUUCGUAUCUCAUAUCUAUGUGACUGAUUUUUGAUAGAUCAGACAAAGGUCACGUUAUUGACCAAAAUAGCACAGUUCUUUGGUUGUUUUUGGCUAGAUGUAAGCCUUUAGUCGAUGCGUUGCAGCCUAUGACGAUGAUGUGUUGUAAAGGUAUGGAAACUAUGAUGUAAUUUCUGUGUACGGGCAACCCCAACAGCUCCUCCAGCAGAAGCUGCUUCCUCCUGCCUUCCAGAUGCUGCUGACCAAGUUGUCCACCAUCUGACAGGCGGUUCUGGCUGAUGACCUGUCGCCAUAGCUGAUAGAAACCCAGAAGGAAUAUCAUCCCCAAUGAUACUGCUAAUAUUAGUAACUGUACUGAUGAGGAACAGGAGGGCAGGCUUAUCCAUUGUCCCUGAACUGCUUGAAGUGUAGAGUCAAAAUGACAGUGCCACUUUGUUACCGCUAGUCACAUGUUUGAGAAGAUGUUCUGCAAAAAUAAUAACAAUACAGAGAUGGUCUUGCUCUUCAAUGAGGUUCUGACAAUCAUAUGUUGGAAUCCAUUAUAAAGAAAACCUACAGUAGUUGAACACUCUGUGUAGGUAGUAACCUGUUUGUUGAACGCCAGUGAUUCUAAGAACAAAAAUAACUGUUACCUGUAGGACAAUGUCUCUAUCACAGGUCACCAAGGGUACAACAAGGCAUAUCCUUAAUAAAAUACAUUUUCAUGGCUAAUUGUGCAUGCCUCUCAUUUCCCACUUAAUAUGCAAUAUAGUUAUACCUAUGGCUUGCAUAACCAACUCAGUGCCCUUGUUGUUAGUGUCCUACCUAAGAGUUGAAGGUUGGACAGUUCAAUCCCUGACCGAGUCAUACCAAAGACUGUAAAAAUGGGACCCGAUGCGUCUCUGCUUGGCACUCAAGAUAGAUUGGGGGUAAGGCCCUGCGAUAGACUAGCGUCCUAUCCAGGGGGUGUACUUGUACAUCAAGCUGCCUCACAUUACAGAAACAGGAGAUAUGCUCCUGCUCCUAUGAGUCGUUGUGGCUCACACAAG
ensembl:lncRNA